rnacentral:lncRNA from 1 species
CAGAGUUCUGCUGAGUUCUUUGAUCCAGCCCGCAUCUCUGGCUUCACUUCAGAAGACACAGAAGAGCAUCCUUUUCCCUGCACACAGUUUUGAGGACUCACGUGUCACUUUCAUCCCUUACCCCUUGAGCUGUGUGCUUCCUUCACAGUAUUGUUUCUGUUCAGCUGAUAUAUUUGCAGUACCAGCAAAGUAUUCUAUUUUGAUUGUUUCUUUAAGAAAUUUGAGCAGAGUUUUCAUUUGCAAACCACUUCUCCUGGAUCCUGCCUUAUUCCACACUCACACAACAUUGUGUUUUCUUAAAAUUUUUCACCUAUCAAGUCCAAUUUGGGCUUCCCAUAUAUUCUUGGAUUGGUGGUCCCCUACUACAGCCCAACUUAUUGGUGACAACACUUAAUUGUCUACAACACGUUGAUUUGGAGUACAAUAUUAUGUCUACUUCCCUUCUCCAAACUAGGAUUUGGUCUGGGCUAACUUGAAGCUUGUAGUUGAUGAGAUGACUGUGAGUUUAUAUUUGCAGCUGUAACGAGGUAUACAUAAUGUACCAUUCCCAACCUCUGUAUCUUAGACUCUUGCUGCUUCCUAUUCCACAGUGAUCCCAUAUCAUUAAGAGGGAUGAAUGUGAUAAAGGUGUCAAAUUUAGGCUUGACUGUUUCACAGUUUUCUGGUCUUAGCCAGCAAUUGAUCUCUUUGCUAAUCACCAUCAACUAUAAAUAGAAACUUCUUUGCUGAGCAUGAGAGGUGUGCUAAUCUAUUGGUAUAAUGAUAAAUCAGGAGCAUCUGGUUUAAUGCUAUAUCUUUUUGGCAGAAUAAUAGCAGUAGCUUCU